GAAGAUAUAUCAGAAAGAAGAAAAGAAAGGAAAGAAAAGAAAGAGGAAAAGAAGAAAGGAGAAAGUGGAAGAAGAGGAGAAGAAGAGGAAGGAACCACCACCACCACCAUAUCAUCUUCAUCAUCACCAUCUUCAUCUUCUUCUACUAGGUAUUCUUUACAGGUUGAAUUUAAGAGAAACUGUUAUGGAUGUUUCAAGGGUUGCUGUUCAUUAUGAUCUUCCGCUGUGGAGUUGUGUGCAAUGAAGAUAUUGUACAUAGUUCUUAGAUUUUUAUUGUUUAGGCAUUAUUGUAUAACAUGUUCCAUUGAUGUUUUUAGUUUGGACAUGUAUAUAUAUUGAUGCCAUUAGGCACUUAUGUUGUGACAGUACCAAAAUUUAAUA